ACUUUGCAGGAAUCUUUUAACAGUUAUGUAUGAACUGUGCAUUAUGUAUGUAUGAGUUAUGUAUUAUUACUUUCAUUCCACAGACAAGAGAAUGCAAGGUUAGAGAGGUUAGGUUAACAUGCCCCAAAUCACAUAGCUAGUAAGGGGCUGUGAUAGGAUUCACAGGCAGGUUUUUCACUUCCAAAUUCCAUACAUUUUCUGAAAACCUUCACUUGCUCCUAAAUGCAAGUUGUUGUACUGCUAUGCAUUCUCUUUUUCUAGGUGCCUGACGCACAUACGUUCUUUGCAAAGGGAUUCCCAGACUAGAUUUUUCUGUCUGUAAAGAGUCAAAAAGGGUGCCCAAAUUCCCCAUGUAAGAAAUUUUGUUUUCUGGUCGCCGACAGCUCAAAUGUGAAUAGGCCGUGUAUUUGAUCCCAUAAAAAGUUAGCCCUAGACUAUACUUUGAAAAAAGGGAUCCGAUCAGGGCUCGCCUCAGGAAUGGGGGUGGAAGAAAAGCCUUGAUCCAUCCCCAUCCUGGUUGUAGUCUGGAUAAAAAGCCCUGAUUCUGAGUGAUAUUUCAGGCUCACCCUAAAAGGGGCCCAGAGUUGAGCGUCUGGGAUGGGAGUGAGGCUUCAUGACAGUGCAUGUGUUUUGAAUUGACAAUUCUUUUAACAGAAGCAACUUGGAACCAGGACUGGGGGAGCUGCUGCUCACAGGAAAGUUGUAGCCAUUUUCCAUGUUCCCAGAGAGCAGGGCAGGUGGCUCCCAUUGCAUCUGGGGGCGGUGGGGGCAGGGGUUAAGUUAGACACUAGGAAGGGCUUGAUUUCUAUAAUGAUUGUGAAAGGCAGGCACAAACGUGGUUGUGGAAUAUAAUUAUCUGUGCAGAUUUGAAGCAAGUAUAGGAAAAAAUCUUUCACAUGUAGAGGGUAUGGAUUGAAUGUCGUUGUAGCAGAAAACAGGAAUUGAGAACAGAAAGUAAUGGUAUAGGGCUUCCCUGGUGGCACAGUGGUUAAGAAUCCGCCUGCCAAUGCAGGGGACACGGGUUUGAGCCCUGGUCUGGGAAGAUCCCACAUGCCGCGGAGCAACUAAGCCCAUGCGCCACAACUACUGAGCCUGCGCUCUAGAGCCCACGUGCCGCAGCUACUGAGCCCGCGUGCCACAACUACUGAAGCCCGUGCGCCUAGAGCCUGUGCUCUGCAACAAGAGAAGCCACCACAAUGAGAAGACUACACGCCGCAAUGAAAGAGUAGUCCCCGCUCGCCUCAACUAGAGAAAGCCCACACACAGCAACAAAGACCCAACGCAGCCAAAAAUAAAUAAAUAAAUUUAUAUUAAAUUUAUAUUAUAUAUGGUCAAAAAUAAGAUGCUUCACGCAGUGUGUAGAAUCAGGGAGGGAUGUGGCUUUUGCUUGUGCACCUUGCUAUCUGCAGAGGUGAGUGCCUGGAACCUAAGGGCUUGGGGCCCAGCACAAGGGAAUGGGAAGAAGCUCAGGCAGCGGCCAGGCUGGCACACCUCCCUGCAUGGCCUGGGCAUUCCGGUCCCCUCGUGCACACAACCAAAGGAUGAAAUCAGGUGAAAGCUGAAGACUCUCCAAGCUCCGAGUUCCUCUGAGCCGCAAUGUAGAGAAUUUCUAUCGGUGGAAGGAGAGAGAGGGAGAGAGACCCAAAAGGGAGAAGAGUUGGCUCUCAGUAGCUUUCCAUUCGGCUGGAAAAGGAACAGCUCUGGUUGCUACAACUAUGGUUGCUCCUUCUUGCUAUUUAUGGAUGGGGUGGCUGUUACUGCAGUCCACUAGCGCCCCCUAUUGUCCCCUUCAGGAAACUCACGGGGCAGCAUGAACGGCUAAACCUGGCCGGCGGCCAGUGGCCCUGUUCCCUUCUCAGAGACAGGACUACCACCCACAGCUCUUCUGAUAGCCUUGCGUUUUAUUGCCAUGGCCUGUUGGAUCAAAGCCUCUGAGUUUGAUGCAAGUUCAGAAUAAUUUCCUUCAAGGAUUAACUCAUCUUUCUGGGCUUGGGGAGCUACACAAGCAACAUCUGGUACAGCCUGCAGAGGCAUUCUUCACCCAAGGAGUUUCAAAUUUCAACAUGUGAGCCGUGCUGCUAAAUAACAUCAUCAACGGGAAACAGCACUCAGAGACCUCAUCUGGUGGUAACAAGAGCUCUGUGUAAUGCCCCGAAUCAUGUUUUGCACACGACAGUAAUAAAUGGUGCAAACGGUAACAGGUCCUUUAUCACUUUGUUUCUUGCCAAAGGGACUGAAUUCCACACUGAUGGGGUUGAAAUCCCCUUGUGGGCGUCCUCUGGGGCCAUUUCAUAGCCCGUGAUAGCACUGUUAACAACCCCCAUCCUGUGCAUGGAGCAGCCCGUAGGCUCACAUUUUAAUGUAGUCACAGGGAAUCGCAUGGUCAGUUCCUUUUCUAGAUCCCAUCACUCACCUCCCUGUCUGCCCAGGUGCUCCUGGAAAAUCCUUGGUUGGGCCCAUUUCCUUGCCCCUUGGUAAAUCCUGGCUUUAUUCCUCCCUGGCUCUGCCCUCUGCAUCCUAUGGGUUAGUCCCCCCACUCCUGGAGUUCUCUUCAAGGUCAAGGUUUUACCAUGUUCUUAAAGGUGAAACCCUAUAAUAGUUGGGUGUUAUGUGUCAGGGAUGUAUUAUUUAUAGGGGCACUAUUAAUCAUCACCAGUAAGGAAAACGAGGCUCAGAGUUUGAGUGAAUUGCCCAGGUACAAGAUAUGAACCCAUGUCUGUCUCACUUUAAGACUGUGAUCUUUUUAAGGGAUAAAUAAAGGAAUUCCAGAAUAUGGUCAUGGGAGUCCCACAUGGGAAUCCAUACUUCCAGGUGCGAGAGGGAGAAGGAAAGAGAAAUAAGGAAAACACGACCCACAGUAGUGGCACUGAAUUCAAAGGAGGAGAAUUUUGAGACAUGGUGAAUUGUGUCUAAGGCCACAGUUGGAGAAUAUGGAGACCAUUGGCAUGAAGAAGACUAUUGGCAGGUGUUUUCAAGAAAAAGUUUAGUUGAGUAAUGGGUCUGGAAGAGGUUAAGUAGAGGGUAGACUGCAAACAAAAAGAAAGGGCCACCACAUAGAUGAUGGAAUAAAGUGAAAGGCUGUUCUGUAUCUACUAAACUUGAAACUCGGGGUGGAGGGGGACAGGGCGUGGACUCAAGAAUUGUUUUGACAAGCCCUCCAGGUGAUUCUGAUAGACACUAACGUUUGUGGACCACUGCUAUAGUACAGUUCUCAGCCUUGGCUACACAUUGGAAUCACCUGGAAUAAUGCUUCUGCUCUAUUCCUGAAAUUCAUGUAGUUGCUCCAGGCAAUAGGGGCGUUUACAAAACUCUACAGGUGAUUCUAACAUGCAGCUAAGAGCUGAAAACCACUGCUGCCUCAGAGGAAGUGGAAGGGGUAAAAAUAACUGUGAUGCCAAGGGCUAGCUGUGCCAGACAUUGUGCUAAGGAUAAGAACAUGCUUUUAAAGCUUUAAUGGGCAUAAGGAAAACCCAACGAGCUCCCAGGUGCUUUACGGACAUUGCUCCAGUGAAUCUUCAUGAUAAGACUAUGAGGCAGGUAUGAUGGUUAUUCCCAUUUUACAGAUGAAGACACUGAGGUUCCAUGAAGUUACCUGACUUGCUGGGGCAUCAAAGCUGGAACUUGAAAAUCAAGUCUUUGACUCCAAAGUACUGAUUCCUUUUUUUAGAAUUGUGAUAAAAUAUAUAUGACAAAAAUUUGCCACUUUCACCAUUUUGAAGCAUAUGUACGGUUUUAGUGGCAUUAAGCACAUUCACGAUGUUGUGUAACCGCCACCACUAUCCAUUUCCAGAACUUUUUCAUCAUCUCAAAACAGAUACUCUGUACCCAUUAAACAGUAACUCCCCAUUCUCCCCUCCCUCCAGCUCCUGGUCACUCCUAUUCUACUGUCUGUCUCUAUGAAUUAAAGUAUUCGUUCUAAAUCAUCAUUUCCAGAUGGGCUCAAAGAAGAAAUGAAGGUGCUGAGGUUGAUCAGUUUUUUUCCUUGAAUAAGAUAUCUCUGAGUUAGGUGAGGCUCCCACCUGAAACCCGUAUCCCCAGAUACUGAAAAACUUGUAAUUCCCACCAAACAGCAUAAGCUCUCUUGCCUCUGUGCCGCAGCACGGGUGAGUCUCUUUUCCCACCUUGCCUUCAUUUAGCAAACUCGAUCUCCUCCUCCAAGUCUCCCUCCAGGCAUGACCAUCCCUAGGGAUCUGAACCAAGCUCUUCAACUAGCAUGGUCCCACAGACCAGGCUUUGCAAACUAAUGUUAACUCCAGCCACCUAUGCGUCUUCUUAAAAUGCAGAUUUGGAUUUAGUGAGUCUGGGUUGGGGCCCUAAGAUUCUGAGUUUCUAUCAAGCUUCCAGGUCCCUGGAACACAUUUUGAGCCGUGAGGUCAGAGAGGGCAGUGCUUCACCACAGCAUGUUAUUUGUUUUAUUUUUUUUAACUCUAGUGUUUCCUUGGCUGUUUCUCCGCUCCACUAUAAAUACCUUGAGGGCAGAAACCCAUCUUAUUUAUGGUUAUAUUCCAGAGACUAGCAUGGUGCCAACCCAGAGUAACUCUCAAUAAAUGUUGAAUGAAUGAAUAAAUAAAUGAGCUCACAGGCUGGAAGGAUAAAAAGGAACCAGAUCUGUGAAGAGCCUGGCAUUCCUAUCACUUGUGCUAACAUUAGCCUGAUGAGGAAGAGGGCUGGAACCUGGGACCCCGAGCCCGGCGACCCUUCUGCUUCUGCUGGAGGCUCAGAGAGCUCUACAUCCUCCAGGCACAUCACCUGCUGGAGGUCGGAUGCCAAGCCCAUCCGUCUGACGAGUGUGACCACUGAGGAUUUCUGUUACUCAGCCUGGGGGAAGCUGAAGUGGUCUCUCCUCUGCACCCCACCAUGACCACCUCCUUGGCAAGUAGAGAGCAGAUGUUUCUAACCCCAAGUCCAUCUUACUGCACCAAUCAGAAGCAAAAGAUAGUAGUCCCAACUCUGUCUUUUUCAAAAUGACAAAAGGAUUUUGUGGACAGUGAAACUAUUCUGUAUGAUGCUACAGUAGCAGAUACAUGCCAUUAUACAUUUGUCAAAACUCAUGGAAUGUGCACCACACCAAGAGUGAACCCUAAUGGAUACUACGGACUAUGGUGUAAUGAUGUAUCAAGCCAUGAGGUCCAAGGAAAUGCAAGUUCAUGGAAAUGAGAAGUAAUACCAGAAUAUGGAUAAGAUCAGCUUUAGAGAUUUCAUGGAAUCAGCAGAACAUGAUUGUCUGGAGUGAUUUUUGGCCUUCUCAGUUUGCCAAGCCAGGUGUACCAUUUUGUCUAGCCCAUUUA